GACGAACGCUGGCGGCGUGGAUUAGGCAUGCAAGUCGGACGGUAGGGCUUUAUCGUAAGAUAGAGUUUGAGAGUGGCGAACGGGUGAGUAACACGUAGGAAUCUACCCUUAAGACGGGGACAACCCAGGGAAACUUGGGCUAAUACCGGAUGAGAGUGCGAGAGAUUGCAUUUAAAAGGAUGGCGAAAGUUGUCGCUUAGGGAUGAGCCUGCGGUCUAUUAGUUAGUUGGUGAGGUAAGAGCUCACCAAGGCGACGACGGGUAGCCGGCCUGAGAGGGUGACCGGCCACACUGGGACUGAGACACGGCCCAGACUCCUACGGGGGGCAGCAGUAGGGAAUCUUCGGCAAUGGGCGGAAGCCUGACCGAGCGACGCCGCGUGAGGGACGAAGGCCUUCGGGUUGUAAACCGUCUGUCUGGGGGACGGAGUAAGGACGGUACCCCCGGACGGAAGCCCCGGCGUAACUACGUG
rnacentral:rRNA from 1 species